GCAUAACGCGAAGAACCUUACCAGGCCUUGACAUCCAAUGAGCUUUCUAGAGAUAGAUUGGUGCCUUCGGGAACAUUGAGACAGGUGCUGCAUGGCCGUCGUCAGCUCGUGUCGUGAGAUGUUGGGUUAAGUCCCGCAACGAGCGCAACCCUUGUCCUUAGUUACCAGCACGUUAUGGUGGGCACUCUAAGGAGACUGCCGGUGACAAACCGGAGGAAGGUGGGGAUGACGUCAAGUCAUCAUGGCCCUUACGGCCUGGGCUACACACGUGCUACAAUGGUCGGUACAGAGGGUUGCCAAGCCGCGAGGUGGAGCUAAUCUCACAAAACCGAUCGUAGUCCGGAUCGCAGUCUGCAACUCGACUGCGUGAAGUCGGAAUCGCUAGUAAUCGUGAAUCAGAAUGUCACGGUGAAUACGUUCCCGGGUCUUGUACACACCG
rnacentral:rRNA from 1 species